GGGAAGGUGGCUCAGUGGUAGAGUGCUUGCCUUGCAUGCAUGAGGUCUUGGGUUCGAUUCCUCAGUACCA
rnacentral:tRNA from 1 species